UUUUAAUGAAUAAAACAAGCAAUAAGGUUUUCAAAUAUCUUACACAGUUCUUUUUGACACAUCAAUCAAAAUUUCCGUACAAACCAACACAAACCGUAUUCCAAGAAUUCCACAAAAUUCCGGUAUGAGCAAUAGUGUCAAAGCAGGAUGGUGAGGCUGGUGCGAGGUGGAUAGCAUACGAUGGGCUUGGUGCGCGACGCGCUCUUCCUUUUCCUGACCACUCUGCUCGCCGUCUCCUCCUUUGCCGCUGCCUGCACGAGGAAAGUUUACAUCGCUUGCAAGAAGCCUGCGCCCUGCGGAGAGUAAUUAAGUAUGUCGCUGUUUGACCUCAGUCGCUUAGUGAUUCUGUCUUUGACCAUCCUUGCGCUGGUGUUGACCGGAGCUCGCGGCUGCAAAAAGAACGUGGCUUGUACAGGGCGCCCCCCUUGCAAUCGCGGUCCCUUUGGGAAAUAACGUCGCAAAAAAUUCCAGAGAAACAACCAUGGACGAAACUGAAAUCAUUUGCAGAGUCUGCCCGACUUAUCU